AUUGAACGCUGGCGGCAGGCCUAAGACAUGCAAGUCGAACGGUAACGACACUAGCUUGCUAGUGGGCGACGAGUGGCGGACGGGUGAGUAACGCGUAGGAAUCUACCUAGUAGUGGGGGAUAGCCAAGGGAAACUUUGGGUAAUACCGCAUACGAUCUGAGGAUGAAAGGGGGCCUCUCUUUGAAGCUCUCGCUAUUAGAUGAGCCUGCGUAAGAUUAGCUUGUUGGUGAGGUAAUGGCUCACCAAGGCGACGAUCUUUAGCUGGUCUGAGAGGAUGAUCAGUCACACUGGAACUGAGACACGGUCCAGACUCCUACGGGAGGCAGCAGUCGGGAAUAUUGGACAAUGGGGGGAACCCUGAUCCAGCCAUGCCGCGUGUGUGAAGAAGGCCCUAGGGUUGUAAAGCACUUUUAGUAGUGAGGAAGGCUCAGUGGCUAAUAACCACUGAGAUUGACGUUAGCUACAGAAAAAGCACCGGCUAAUUUCGUGCCAG
rnacentral:rRNA from 1 species